GACGUAGGGGGCCAGCGUUGUUCGGAAUUACUGGGUGUAAAGGGUUCGUAGGCGGUGUGGCAAGUCGGGAGUGAAAUCUCUGGGCUCAACUCAGAGACUGCUUCCGAAACUGCUGUGCUGGAGUGUGGGAGAGGCGCGUGGAAUUGCAGGUGUAGCGGUGAAAUGCGUAGAUAUCUGCAGGAACACCCGUGGCGAAAGCGGCGCGCUGGACCACUACUGACGCUGAGAAGCGAAAGCAUGGGGAGCGAACAGG
rnacentral:rRNA from 1 species